rnacentral:tRNA from 1 species
GGAGACGUGGCCGAGCGGUCGAAGGCGCUCCCCUGCUAAGGGAGUAGGCCCGGAAGGGUCUCGUGGGUUCGAAUCCCAUCGUCUCCGCCA